AUACGGAGGGUGCAAGCGUUAUCCGGAAUCACUGGGUUUAAAGGGUGCGUAGGCGGCGCUAUAAGUCAGAGGUGAAAGCCCCCAGCUCAACUGGGGAACUGCCUUUGAUACUGUAGUGCUUGAAUCAGGUUGAGGUUAGCGGAAUGUGUCAUGUAGCGGUGAAAUGCAUAGAUAUGACAUAGAACACCAAUUGCGAAGGCAGCUGACUAGACCUGUAUUGACGCUGAGGCACGAAAGCGUGGGGAGCGAACAGGAUUAGAAACCCUAGUAGUCC
rnacentral:rRNA from 1 species